GCGAACGCUGGCGGCAGGCUUAACACAUGCCAGUCGAGCGGGCACUUCGGUGUCAGCGGCAGACGGGUGAGUAACACGUGGGAACGUACCCUUCGGUUCGGCAUCACGCUGCGAAACUAGCGCUACUACCGGAUACGCCCUUUUGGGGAUAGGUUUACUGCCGAAGGAUCGGCCCUCGUCUGAUUAGCUAGUUGGUGGGGUAAUGGCCUACCAAGGCGACGAUCAGUAGCUGGUCUGAGAGGAUGAUCAGCCACACUGGGACUGAGACACGGCCCAGACUCCUACGGGAAGCAGCAGUGGGGAAUAUUGGACAAGGGGCGCAAGCCUGAUCCAGCCAUGCGGGGGGAGUGAUGAAGGAGGUAGGGUUGUAAAGCUCUUUUGGCCGGGACGAUAAUGACGGUACCGGAAGAAUAAGCCCCGGCUAACUUCGUG
rnacentral:rRNA from 1 species